CAGCGCCCCAAGUGGCAAUCACGUUUAUUGGGUCUAAAGGGUCCGUAGCCGGUUUGAUCAGUCUUUUGGGAAAUCUGACAGCUUAACUGUUAGGCUUCCAAAGGAUACUGUCAGACUUGGGACCGGGAGAGGUAAGAGGUACUACAGGGGUAGGAGUGAAAUCUUGUAAUCCCUGUGGGACCACCAGUGGCGAAGGCGUCUUACCAGAACGGGUCCGACGGUGAGGGACGAAAGCUGGGGGCACGAACCGGAUUAGAUACCCGAGUAGUCC
rnacentral:rRNA from 1 species